UCUCAAAUAAAAAAUUUCUUAUCCUACAAAUUACUGUUAAGGAUUGUCAUUCUGCUCUUCAUAUAGCAGCUCAAUUCGAGAUUCCUUGUAUGCUUUUGGAGAAUCGAUAAGCCAAUCCAGAUUGGUUGAAUCGUCAUACAAGUGUGUUCAGUUUUAUCGUCGUAUGUGCUCUGACCAGCCUCCCGCUACCAUUCUCCGACCACCCACCAGAGUUUGUCAAUGAUUACACAACGACAACCCACCGGCAUGAAACCUACAAUCACCGCCGUUGAAUGCUUUUUCCCAACUUGUGGUUACUCUCCAAUCAGUAACUCUUUCAUCUCUGCAAGAUCGGAAGAUCUAAGGUUAUAAAUUGAAGACGAAUAAUUGAAGGAGACAUGUGUGCUGAGAGAUCGAUUAGGUCUCUUUUUAGGCAGUACGAAUCCUUAAUUCCUCUGCCAUCGGAAGUAAUCUCAAGUGCUUAUUAUGAAUUAUGGUUUGAGAAAUUAUGUCUAUUCAGUGUGUUUUUUUUAUUACACGAAACUUGUGUACACGUAUUUUUGUUUGUCAAUUCGUGUUUUAGUUAGGUUUUAAGGAGUUUAUUAUAUGAUGGUCCAGAAUCUAGGGCUAAUUGUUAUAAUUUUCAGAUAUGGGGCUUUACCCAGAUUGUCAUACUCACUCAUCAUUGUGAUUCCAGUCGCUUCAUCCACAACUUUAGAGGUUGAAAUUUAUUAGGAAACUAAACUGAUAAAAUCCCAGUGCCAAAGGUGAUUAUAAAUCAGGACUCAGAUCUAGAUCUAGAUCUUGAUGCAAGUGUGAUGGGAUCACUUACAAAUCUUGGAAUGAAUGUUGUCAAGGCAAAUGAUCAUCUGAAUUCUUCCGGGAAUCACACCAUGUUUUUAACAACUGAAGCAUCAUAGACAUGAUGCAGCAAGAGCAGAAAAUUCAUUUACUCUUAUUUUUAGGAGUGAAUUAAUCGGUAUGCAAAUCUGCAAAAAAGGUAUAUAGGUUUUUUCUACUGUUAUUUCUAGAUAUAGCAAAAUGUGCGUGUUAGGCAACAAUUCAAAACGGGCCAGGUUGGGUUGACCUUAAACAUGAUGGUUUUGGUGACCAACAACACAAAUUUUAUCUUUGAACUAUAUUUUGUAUCAUUUUUACCUUAGUUGGGAUUCUUUUGUUACCGAUGAUUAGGGGUGUUCAUGGUUUGGUUUAAAACUGAGAAACCGUCCAAACCGAUCAUCGGUUUGGUUACAUGUUCGGUUUUUUAUUAACUUUCAGUCAGUCGGUUUUAAAAAUUCCAAACUAUAGCAUACGGUUCGGUUUUCGGUUGAUACCAAAAAUCGGUCGUAUAAAACUGGACCAUUUGUUUGAUAAUAUAUUGAGCUUAAUAAAAAAAAAAACUAUCCAAAUAAGACUUGAAGUGGAACCAUUGGGUGUAUUUAUAUUAGCUUAUCCCUGUAUGGGUUGUAUGAAAAAUUAUAAUGUCUCUGGUCACUUCAAACAAAACCUCAAUAAUUUAGUUAGUAAUUAGUUAUCUUAUUAUUGUUUUCUAUUGAUGUGAUAAAUGGAUAAGUAGACUAGAGAUUUGAACAAUUUGUUUCCAUCUAGCCAAUAAUUCAGUAUCAAGUUUCACACUUAAAUAUUAUUUUUUUAUAAAUCCAUGGUUGCUAUUGUAGACAAUAUUCCUAUAAGUACAGUGACUUCGUUUAUAUUGUUACUUGGGCAGGGGCAAAAUUGCAAAGGCUAAAAGACUGAUGAUGUUCAAACUGGUAACGGUUUGGUUUGGUUUCAAAUUUCAGCGGUUUGGUUCUGGUUUACAAUCAUAAAAAAUCAUUAGUGGCUUACGGUUUGCCUAAAAACCGUAAAAAAAACCGAACCGUGAACGCCCCUAUUAAUGAUGAUACUUGCAAAGUGUGAAUUGUUUACUUGAAUAUACUUUUAAAUGCCGAAUUUUACCUUCAAAUACCGCUACCGUACCGAUACCAUACCGAUACCGUACCGUACCGACAUAUUUCGCUAUGUGUAUCGGUACCCGGUUUUGGCGGAAUUCGGUAUCGGGACGGGAUCGGGAUUUGAUCAUCCCUACUUACUUAAAGACUUUUCAUCUUGAAACAUUUGUACUGAUCAAUAAUCAUAUAUAUAAUGGGUUGAUUACUGGUGCCCAAAUGGUUUCAAGUGUGAACUCAAUUAUCAAGCACUAGUGUUUGCACCAGGUGGAGAUCUUAUAAAGGUUAAAAGAGCAGUUUGCAUGAUCAGCAACAACACAGCAGUUGCCAAGGGGUUGCAAAAAAAUGUCACAUUUUGUAAUAUUUGUUGAGCUAUCAAGACCUUGAUGCUCUAGAGGAUGAGGUCAUUGUCAUAGAGUACGAGAGCAUGCACACUAUUCUUUAAUGGAGUUGAAGGACCAAGGCCUGACCUGACCCAACCGAACGCACAUUUAAGCUGAGUUUUUUUUUUCUGAAGACGACGUGAGUCAUUGAUCGAAUUGAGUAUGUUCUACCUACCAUUAACCACUUCGAAUGGAGAUAAAAAGUGCACUGUUUUACUCUGCAAAAGAUGUAGUGAGCUAGGGGAAGCAUCAGAUGAUCAAUGAUGAUUCCUUUAUUCUAGUCUUGUCACUGAGUUGGUUGUUGUUAAGUAAAUACGAUUUCGUUGUGUUUU